rnacentral:rRNA from 1 species
GACAGAGGAUGCAAGCGUUAUCCGGAAUGAUUGGGCGUAAAGCGUCUGUAGGUGGCUUUUCAAGUCCGCUGUCAAAUCCCAGGGCUCAACCCUGGACAGGCGGUGGAAACUACCAAGCUGGAGUAUGGUAGGGGCAGAGGGAAUUCCUGGUGUAGCGGUGAAAUGCGCAGAUAUCAGGAGGAACACCGGUGGCGAAGGCGGGUCUCUGGGCCGAUACUGACGCUGAGGAGCGAAAGCGUGGGGAGCGAACAGG